AGGAAAAACCCCUACAUAAACAAAUACAUGGGCGCAGACAUUUUGGACACCCAAGGUUGUGCGGAGGAGAAAAUGCUAGCUGGCGCGUGAUUGGUCAAUAAGAGAAAAGACUUGUUAUGUAUUUGACAAGUGAAAUAAAGUUGAUAAAAAUCUCAUAUCAAGACUUGGGUUUCUUUGAGGUAUAUAGGAGUUACAGGUAAAAAUUUGAAGGGAGGGAUGCACUUUGGUUAGAGAUUUUCAUUUGGUGUCAAACGCACCUAGUUGUAAACAAAUGGAAAUUGAAAGUAAAAGUGCAACGGCACGGUAUAUUUUUUCUGGCAUUUUUUGUUUUCCAAUAUCUCGAACUUUCACGACAAAAAGACCAUUUUCCCGAAAUUCAAUAUAUGUAUCAGUGAGAGGUGCUAAAGUUUGUAUGGAAGUCUAUGGGAAAACAUUUGGUGGUGUUUGUCCUAUAGAAAAGCAAUGCAUUAUCAAGAAGGAAGAGAUUAAUGAACCCUACCCUCUUACAAUUAACAAAACAUGGACACUCUCGGGAUGAUCCUUUUGCUUUCAUUAAGAGUUUCAAGAUGUGGGUCUGAUUGACUGGGGUGUGAAAUGUAACAGCCAAUGGUGUACUUAAGCUAAGACUGUCAGUCCCAAUAUUCAAGAGGUGAGAUAAGCAAUGGAUAUGUGUUCUAAAUUUACUAAAUUGACCACUUUUUAUAAAUGUUUCUUUUACUCUAUAGGAAAAACCCCUACAUAAACAAAUACAUGGGCGCAGACAUUUUGGACACCCAAGGUUGUGCGGAGGAGAAAAUGCUAGCUGGCGCGUGAUUGGUCAAUAAGAGAAAAGACUUGUUAUGUAUUUGACAAGUGAAAUAAAGUUGAUAAAAAUCUCAUAUCAAGACUUGGGUUUCUUUGAGGUAUAUAGGAGUUACAGGUAAAAAUUUGAAGGGAGGGAUGCACUUUGGUUAGAGAUUUUCAUUUGGUGUCAAACGCACCUAGUUGUAAACAAAUGGAAAUUGAAAGUAAAAGUGCAACGGCACGGUAUAUUUUUUCUGGCAUUUUUUGUUUUCCAAUAUCUCGAACUUUCACGACAAAAAGACCAUUUUCCCGAAAUUCAAUAUAUGUAUCAGUGAGAGGUGCUAAAGUUUGUAUGGAAGUCUAUGGGAAAACAUUUGGUGGUGUUUGUCCUAUAGAAAAGCAAUGCAUUAUCAAGAAGGAAGAGAUUAAUGAACCCUACCCUCUUACAAUUAACAAAACAUGGACACUCUCGGGAUGAUCCUUUUGCUUUCAUUAAGAGUUUCAAGAUGUGGGUCUGAUUGACUGGGGUGUGAAAUGUAACAGCCAAUGGUGUACUUAAGCUAAGACUGUCAGUCCCAAUAUUCAAGAGGUGAGAUAAGCAAUGGAUAUGUGUUCUAAAUUUACUAAAUUGACCACUUUUUAUAAAUGUUUCUUUUACUCUAUAGGAAAAACCCCUACAUAAACAAAUACAUGGGCGCAGACAUUUUGGACACCCAAGGUUGUGCGGAGGAGAAAAUGCUAGCUGGCGCGUGAUUGGUCAAUAAGAGAAAAGACUUGUUAUGUAUUUGACAAGUGAAAUAAAGUUGAUAAAAAUCUCA